UCUACUUCCAAUAAUCACACCUGAUUCUCAUUUCUUUCCGGCAAUUUACAGCUAAUGAUAAAUGAGUAACUUUACCGAACUAAUCUCUGAACUUUCCAACAGCUUGAAUAAACAAGAGUACCAAUAUAUACUAAUAGAUGGUCUAAAGGUUGCAAGGAUACUAUAUAGUAGACCAGUGAUCUUUAUCUUAGUACAUAAUACUGGAGUCAUCUCCAAAAUUAUAAGAGCUCAAGUUCGAUUCCUAGUUGAAGCGAAUUAUAUAUAUAUAACCAAAAACAAUAUAGUAAGCAGACACUAGACACUGGUCAUCUAAAUGUGUUGAUUGUGAAGAUUAUCUGGGACCAUCAUAAUUGAUUGGGAGGAAAGGAACUUCAAGCCUGAGUGAGCAUCAUCGGCAAUGUGCACAGAGUCAUCUUCACGGGGGAAACUGUUAUAGCCCAGACUCAUUACAAAAUUUGAUGAAACAUCUGUUCUGCUGUCCUCAUAUGGUUCUCUGGGCACUGGAGUUUGUUGCAGCCGCAGUGCAUAUUCUAAGUCCCAGUGCACAUCAAGCAUUGUAGGUCUGUUAGCCCCUUCUACCUUCAAGCACUGCUCAGAUAUUUCACCGAACUUUCUCAAUGAGUGAGGAUUAAUCUGACCAGCCAAUGAAGGAUCAAUAAUCUUUUCUAUUUCCCCUUUCUUUAGCCAAAACAUCCCCCAUUCAGCUAAGUUUAUUUCCUCUCUCCUGGUAGAGUUCACAAUAGGAGGUCGAGCACAAAGUAUUUCAAGAAGUACCACACCAAAGGAGUAGACAUCCGAUUUAUCAGUUAACUGAAGAGUUCUCACAUAUUCAGGAUCAAGAUAACCGAAGCUUCCUAUCAGACCCGUUCUGCAAUGGUCUGUAUUAGGAGGGCCCGAACGUGAAAGACCAAAAUCAGCAACUUUUGCCACAUAAUGUUCAUCAAGCAAGAUGUUUGUUGACUUAACAUCUCCAUGAAUGAUUCCCCAAUCAGAACCAGUGUGAAGGUAAUGAAGACCCUUAGCUGCACCUAUGCAGAUUUCAAGCCUUUGCUUCCAAGUCAAUCUAGGUGGCACAGAUGCAGUGUUUGAGUUCUCUUUCCAGGUGUAUAGCUGCUCUCUCAGAGUCCCCUUUUCCAUGAAUUCAUAAACCAGAAUCAUUUCAGAUCCUUCAUAGCAGUACCCAAUCAAGGAAACAAGG
rnacentral:misc_RNA from 1 species